UAGGUGGGAGGCUUUGAAGUGUGGACGCCAGUCUGCAUGGAGCCGACCUUGAAAUACCACCCUUUAAUGUUUGAUGUUCUAACGUGGACCCGUAAUCCGGGUUGCGGACAGUGUCUGGUGGGUAGUUUGACUGGGGCGGUCUCCUCCUAAAGAGUAACGGAGGAGCACGAAGGUUGGCUAAUCCUGGUCGGACAUCAGGAGGUUAGUGCAAUGGCAUAAGCCAGCUUGACUGCGAGCGUGACGGCGCGAGCAGGUGCGAAAGCAGGUCAUAGUGAUCCGGUGGUUCUGAAUGGAAGGGCCAUCGCUCAACGGAUAAAAGGUACUCCGGGGAUAACAGGCUGAUACCGCCCAAGAGUUCAUAUCGACGGCGGUGUUUGGCACCUCGAUGUCGGCUCAUCACAUCCUGGGGCUGAAGUAGGUCCCAAGGGUAUGGCUGUUCGCCAUUUAAAGUGGUACGCGAGCUGGGUUUAGAACGUCGUGAGACAGUUCGGUCCCUAUCUGCCGUGGGCGCUGGAGAACUGAGGGGGGCUGCUCCUAGUACGAGAGGACCGGAGUGGACGCAUCACUGGUGUUCGGGUUGUCAUGCCAAUGGCACU
rnacentral:rRNA from 1 species